rnacentral:rRNA from 1 species
UACGUAGGGGGCAAGCGUUGUCCGGAUUUAUUGGGCGUAAAGAGCGCGUAGGCGGCCAAACAGGUCAGCUGUGAAAACUCGAGGCUCAACCUCGAGACGUCGGUUGAAACCGUUUGGCUAGAGUCCGGAAGAGGAGAGUGGAAUUCCCGGUGUAGCGGUGAAAUGCGCAGAUAUCGGGAAGAACACCCGUGGCGAAGGCGGCUCUCUGGGACGGUACUGACGCUGAGACGCGAAAGCGUGGGGAGCGAACAGG